rnacentral:rRNA from 1 species
CCUCUCGCCCUACAUGAGAGGUCCAGCCUGCCCAGUGACUAAGUUCAACGGCCGCGGUAUCCUAACCGUGCGAAGGUAGCGUAAUCACUUGUUCUUUAAAUGAGGACUAGUAUGAAUGGCACCACGAGGGUUAUACUGUCUCCUUUUUUUAAUCAAUGAAACUGAUUUUCUCGUGAAGAAGCGGGAAUACACAUAUAAGACGAGAAGACCCUAUGGAGCUUUAAACAAUUAUAGCACUGGCCCACACCUUAAAUUCUUCUGAGAUAUAACUGUUAUUUAGGCCAAUAUGACUAUUAGUUUUAGGUUGGGGUGACCGCGGAGCAAAUAUUAACCUCCACGUUGUAACGGAGCUACUCCUGAGCCAAAAGCUACAACUUUAAGCACCAAUAAACUGACAUCAAUUGACCCAACAUGUUGAGCAACGAACCAAGUUACCCUAGGGAUAACAGCGCAAUCCAUUUCAAGAGCCCCUAUCGACAAAUGGGUUUACGACCUCGAUGUUGGAUCAGGGUAUCCCAGUGGUGCAGCCGCUACUAAAGGUUCGUUUGUUCAACGAUUAUAACCCU